CAUCAUACUUUUUGCUGGCGGACUUCACCAAUUACUGUUUUGAAGGUGAUGAAGUCAGUUUUUCUACGAUUUUCAUUAAAGAAAGAGUUGCUUCUUAUGUUUAAUUAAUUUGACCCUUGCUUUGCAGUUGAUGGCUUGAGGACAAAUACAGAAUAUUUUGGAUACAAUAUUGCAUCAACAUCCAUCUGUUAUUCAAUGAUUUGAAAAAGUCGUUCAAGAUUUUAGCAAGGAAGACAAAGCUCGCCUUCUUCACUCAUCGUCUAACAAAUCUGUCUACUUCUCCAAGUGUCGUUAAAAGGAUUUACUUCCCUGCAAGGAGUAUUCAGGUUUCAAAUCCAAAAAGUUUAUGCUAGACCUGUUCACUUGCCUUAAGCACAUUCAUGGUAAUUAUUUUAUCAUCUGAAAGUGAACUAUGAUUAUCCAAAAAUAAAUUUUGAUUGUCCUCCUGAUGCUGAAGAAUUUUCUCAGUCAUGUUGUUCCUCUCUAAGUUACUUAACUUUUUUUCAUUUUUGUUAUCAUCCUAAUUUACUUUUAUUACUAAAGAUACCAAUAGAAGUCUUCG
rnacentral:lncRNA from 1 species